ACGAUGGCAAGCCGGCAUGGCUGAAUUCCGUGUAAAUUUGGAGCCUGUACCUGAACAUGAGCUUCCUUCACUCAUGUAUACUAUGUCUACCCAGCUGAUAUCAAAGAACUUGACACAGGACAGCAAUUAUGGUUCCAGCAUUUGCAGCGUUUCGCUCCAAGGAACAUAUUGGGUCUGAUUAUUAUCCUCCAACACGCUAAGGCAAACACUGCUUCUGGAGAUGAUUGGAAAAGCUAGUGGGAGAGUAGGAACUGC